rnacentral:rRNA from 1 species
GUCGUGAGAUGGUUGGGUUAACGUACCCGUAACGAGCGCAACCCUUGUCCUUAGUUACCAGCACGUUAUGGUGGGCACUCUAAGGAGACUGCCGGUGACAAACCGGAGGAAGGUGGGGAUGGCGUCAAGUCAUCAUGGCCCUUACGGCCUGGGCUACACACGUGCUACAAUGGUCGGUACAGAGGGUUGCCAAGCCGCGAGGUGGAGCUAAUCCCAUAAAACCGAUCGUAGUCCGGAUCGCAGUCUGCAACUCGACUGCGUGAAGUCGGAAUCGCUAGUAAUCGUGAAUCAGAAUGUCACGGUGAAUACGUUCCCGGGCCUU